rnacentral:rRNA from 1 species
AGAGUUUGAUCCUGGCUCAGGACGAACGCUGGCGGCGUGCCUAAUACAUGCAAGUAGAACGCUGAAGAGAGGAGCUUGCUCUUCUUGGAUGAGUUGCGAACGGGUGAGUAACGCGUAGGUAACCUGCCUUGUAGCGGGGGAUAACUAUUGGAAACGAUAGCUAAUACCGCAUAACAAUGGAUGACACAUGUCAUUUAUUUGAAAGGGGCAAUUGCUCCACUACAAGAUGGACCUGCGUUGUAUUAGCUAGUAGGUGAGGUAACGGCUCACCUAGGCGACGAUACAUAGCCGACCUGAGAGGGUGAUCGGCCACACUGGGACUGAGACACGGCCCAGACUCCUACGGGAGGCAGCAGUAGGGAAUCUUCGGCAAUGGGGGCAACCCUGACCGAGCAACGCCGCGUGAGUGAAGAAGGUUUUCGGAUCGUAAAGCUCUGUUGUAAGUCAAGAACGAGUGUGAGAGUGGAAAGUUCACACUGUGACGGUAGCUUACCAGAAAGGGACGGCUAACUACGUGCCAGCAGCCGCGGUAAUACGUAGGUCCCGAGCGUUGUCCGGAUUUAUUGGGCGUAAAGCGAGCGCAGGCGGUUUGAUAAGUCUGAAGUUAAAGGCUGUGGCUCAACCAUAGUUCGCUUUGGAAACUGUCAAACUUGAGUGCAGAAAGGGAGAGUGGAAUUCCAUGUGUAGCGGUGAAAUGCGUAGAUAUAUGGAGGAACACCGGUGGCGAAAGCGGCUCUCUGGUCUGUAACUGACGCUGAGGCUCGAAAGCGUGGGGAGCGAACAGGAUUAGAUACCCUGGUAGUUCACGCCGUAAACGAUGAGUGCUAGGUGUUGGAUCCUUUCCGGGAUUCAGUGCCGCAGCUAACGCAUUAAGCACUCCGCCUGGGGAGUACGACCGCAAGGUUGAAACUCAAAGGAAUUGACGGGGGCCCGCACAAGCGGUGGAGCAUGUGGUUUAAUUCGAAGCAACGCGAAGAACCUUACCAGGUCUGACAUCCCGAUGCUAUUUCUAGAGAUAGAAAGUUACUUCGGUACAUCGGUGACAGGUGGUGCAUGGUUGUCGCCAGCUCGUGUCGUGAGAUGUUGGGUUAAGUCCCGCAACGAGCGCAACCCCUAUUGUUAGUUGCCAUCAUUCAGUUGGGCACUCUAGCGAGACUGCCGGUAAUAAACCGGAGGAAGGUGGGGAUGACGUCAAAUCAUCAUGCCCCUUAUGACCUGGGCUACACACGUGCUACAAUGGUUGGUACAACGAGUUGCGAGUCGGUGACGGCAAGCUAAUCUCUUAAAGCCAAUCUCAGUUCGGAUUGUAGGCUGCAACUCGCCUACAUGAAGUCGGAAUCGCUAGUAAUCGCGGAUCAGCACGCCGCGGUGAAUACGUUCCCGGGCCUUGUACACACCGCCCGUCACACCACGAGAGUUUGUAACACCCGAAGUCGGUGAGGUAACCUUUUGGAGCCAGCCGCCUAAGGUGGGAUAGAUGAUUGGGGUGAAGUCGUAACAAGGUAGCC